GGAUGAGAUGCUCAAAGGCUGAGCGGCGGCUUGUUAAGCCGAAGGUUGAAAGUUCGAAUCUUUCCUCAUCCG
rnacentral:tRNA from 1 species